GGACCUACGGGGGCAGCAGUGAGGAAUAUUGGUCAAUGGGCGGAAGCCUGAACCAGCCAAGUCGCGUGAGGGAAGAAGGCCCUGCGGGUCGCAGACCUCUUUGGACGGGGAGCAAGGCCGCCGACGUGUCGGCGGAAGGAGAGUACCCGUAGAACAAGCAUCGGCUAACUCCGUGCCAGCAGCCGCGGUAAUACGGAGGAUGCGAGCGUUAUCCGGAUUUAUUGGGCGUAAAGGGUGCGUAGGCGGCCUGCUAAGUCUGGAGUGAAAGGUACCGGCUCAACCGGUACAGGCUCUGGAAACUGGCG
rnacentral:rRNA from 1 species